CUGACCCUGAAGUGGAAGAACAGGAGAAGCAACUGACGACAGAUGCUGCCCGCAUUGGUGCAGAUGCAGCCCAGAAGCAGAUCCAGAGCUUGAAUAAAAUGUGUUCAAACCUUCUGGAGAAAAUCAGCAAAGAGGAGCGAGAAUCAGAGAGUGGAGGUCUCCGGCCGAACAAGCAGACCUUUAACCCUACAGACACUAAUGCCUUGGUGGCAGCUGUUGCCUUCGGGAAAGGACUAUCUAAUUGGAGACCUUCAGGCAGCAGUGGUCCUGGCCAGGCAGGCCAGCCAGGAGCUGGGACGAUCCUUGCAGGAACCUCAGGAUUACAGCAGGUGCAGAUGGCAGGAGCUCCAAGCCAGCAGCAGCCAAUGCUCAGUGGGGUACAAAUGGCUCAGGCAGGUCAACCAGGUAAGGUGGCAGGGGUUGAAAUGAAGCUGACUUUGAGCAGGGGAGUGGGAGGGAAUAAGCUAGAUUAUCUGGGCCUCCAGCAUCUCUAGACCUAGAGGUUUUCUCUAUUUCUCCUUUGCACUGUGACCCAGGAAAUAAUUUUCAGAAGCAAGAAAAUCUCAUCUGAGACUCUGCAACAGGCCCCAGUGAGUGAGGAAGAACUUUGAGUAACAGAAACUGCUCUAAUUUCUCAUCCGCAUCUCACAUCUCUGUCAACUAUCCUUCUAUCCCAUUUAUUCUGGUAUUAGAUAUGUUGUCAGUGUCUC
rnacentral:sRNA from 1 species